rnacentral:lncRNA from 1 species
GAGCUGGGAGCCUGUUGGCAGGUCCCUCUUUUUAUUUUCGCUGAGAGCUUUCUUUUACUAAAUGCCACCAUCCUUACCUUUCAAGGUGUCUGCGUGCCUAAUUUUUCCUGGUUGUUAGACAAGAACCCGGAUUUUAGUUGAACUCUGGAGCAAAAAUCCUGCAUCAUUUGUAGGUGGGUGUCAUUGUGACUGGCUGCUACCUCCCCAUGAGUCUUCUAAAAUAAAACCUGCAAAUUCACAUCUUCCCCAUGCUUCCAGAGAAUGCAUAUUCUUCCUUUGAAAAAAGAAAACCAGGUAUGGUUGCAUGUGCUUGUAGUUCUAGCUACUCAGGAGUACUCAGGAGGCUGAGGUAGGAGGAUCACUUAAGCCUAGGAGUUCAAGUCCAAGUCUAACCAAGACAUAUGGAGACACUCUUUCUGGGGAGGGGAGGGAAAAAGAGGGCAACACCUAGGGAAACAGAUUUAGGUAGAGAGGGACAAUAGAAUUCUCAAUUUAUAACAAGGAAAAAAAUGACUACCAGACAUUUGUAAGACGUCAAUAGCACAAAAGAGAAACACAACCAGAUCAUAAUUUUUUGGUCAAAGGUCUAUAAAACGCUGGCUAAUUCUGAGGAUAUGGUGCAAAAAAAUAUGAUUUUGUUAACCACAACAAAAAGAAAGGUAAGAAAUGCUAGGAGAAAGCUAAAAGCUCCAUACUAAAAUAAUGGUCCUAAUAUUAAGCAAAGUAAAAUGUGGUAUGAUUUUGAGUGGUCAGCAGAGUGUAAGAAUAAUCUAUUUGCACUUGAUACUUUCAGCUGUCACAGAGGUCAUAGAAUUGGGCUUAUUGAGAAGGAAAGGUAAAUGCUAGUACACUACUUGGCUCAGAAGUGAACAAAAUUGCAGUUUGCUCAAACAACUCCAUAGGAAAAAGUCUAAUAAUCUGAUGUAAAAAUGGGCAGAAGAUUUGAAUAGAUAUUUCUCAAAAGAAGACAUACGAAUGGCAAACAGACAUAUGAAAAUGUACUCAAAAUCAUUGAUCAUCAGAGAAAUGUAAAUCAAAACUGCAAUGAGAUAUCAUCCGACUCCAGUUAAAAUGGCUUUUAUCCAAAAGUCAGGCAAUAAAAAAUGCUGGUAAGGAUGUAGAGAAAAGGGAACCCUUGUACACUGUUAGUGGGAAUGUAAAUUAAUACAAUCACUAUGGAGAACAGUUUGGAGGAUCCUCAAAAAACUAAAAAUAGAGCUACCAUAUGAUUCAGCAAUCUCACUGCUAGGUAUAUACCCAAAAGUAUAUUGAAGAGACAUCUGCACUCCCAUGUUUGUUGCAGCACUGUUCAUAAUAGCCAAGAUUUGGAAGCCACCUAAGUGUCCAUCAACAGAUGAAUGGAGAAACUGUGGUACAUAUACACAACGGAGUGCUAUUCAGCCAUAAAAAAGAAUGAUACUCUGUCAUCUGCAACAACAUGAAUGGAACUGGAGAUCAUUAUGUUGUUAAAUAAGCCAGACACAGAAAGACAAACAUCACAUAUUUUCACUUAUUUUGGGGAUAUAAAAGUCAAAACAAACUCAUGGAGAUAGAGAACAGAUAGACGGUUACCAGAGGCUAGGAGGAGGAGUGGUGGGGGGCAGUUAGUGAUGGUUAAUUGGUACAAAAAAAUGGUUAGAAAUAAUAAAUAAGACCUAGUAUUAGAUAGGACAACAGGAGGACUAUAGUCAAAAAUAAUUUAUUUGUACAUUUCAAAGUAACUAAAAGAGUGUAAUUGUAUUAUUUGUAGCACAUAGGAUAAAUGCUUGAGGUGACGGAUACCCCAUUUACCCUGAUGUGAUUAUUACACAUCGUAUGCCUGUACCAAAAGAUCUCAUGUACCUCAUAAAUACAUACACCUACUAUAUACCCACACAAAUUAAAAAUUAAAAAAAUUUAAAGAAAUUACAGUUUGUUGGUUUUGAAUAUUUGACCAAAUUUUUUACUAAGCACAGAUAGAUUGAAUAUAAUUUUAUUGUCCUUUUGACAUUAUGAUAAUGAAGGUAUCUACACAGAAGUCUGAGAUGAGAAAAAAAUGAUAUAAUAUCCACCUACUACAUAGUGGGUAGUUUAUAUACUAAAGUUAUUGUUAUGAGAAAGAAUGGCUUAGGAAUAUUAUUUAAAAUUAAUUAAGGGGUGUUAAAAAUAAAAUACCAAGUGUAAAAAUGACAAAGGCAAGAAGAAACAGUAUAUAAUGUGAGUAAAUCUUAAUCUUUCCAAGAGAGGAGACAGUACAUAAUGUCUAAAAUUGUUAAACCAUGAAAUAGAAAUAUAGUUAUUUUAUUCAUAAUUAAGGAGAUAACUACUAUAGCACGAAAUCGUGCCAAAAAUGGUUGCCUCUGGGAAAUGUGAUUAUAGAUAUUAUAAUAUUUUGGACUGUAAAAAUCUGCUUUUAAGACUGAGGAAAUACAAAUAGGACAAUAUUUAUUUGAAAUUUGUAUCCUCAGGGAGUGUAAAGAAAUUAAUGUAUCCACAAAAUAAUAAUAGCUGCUAUUUGAAAACAUAGUUUUCUUGAAAGUUAAAAUAGUAAUAGUCUUCUAAAAAUUUUGUUAGUUUUGGUUUUCUCUUUAAUCUGAGUUAUGUAGAAAAGUGCUUAUUUCAAAUUAGGUAGGCUUGUUUUAUUCCUUUUUCUGUCUUUUUUCUAUCAACUAGUGUUUUAUUGUGUUCAGAAAAUGCCAUGCAUUAAAAGACUACUUUUGAGAAUUUCUAGAGAUUUUCUUUGUUACUAAAGAGAUUUUUGUAAUUGUUACAUGGGAUUUUAAAAAGAAUGUAAAUUAUCCUUUUUGUCAAGUAUAAUGAUUUCUGAAACCUAGCUGUGUCAGAAUACUGUAUAAUACUGUAAUAGUAUGUUGUUUUUGGCUAUGUGUACUUAUUUCUUAGAGUGGUAUGUUAAAGCCUCGACCUUGUGACUUUGUUUAUUUCUCUCUCUACAUCUAAACAUUUCCAAGACAUGUUAUUUGCAAUACCAAGACCAUAACUAUUAUGUAUUUAAUCAAAAUAAAAUAUUUCGGCUCUCUAUAAUUC